UGGUGGAGUGAUUUGUCUGGUUAAUUCCGAUAACGAACGAGACCUUAACCUGCUAAAUAGUUCAGCCGGCUUUUGCUGGUUGCUUACUUCUUAGAGGGACUGUCAGCGUCUAGCUGACGGAAGUUUGAGGCAAUAACA
rnacentral:rRNA from 1 species